GACGAACGCUGGCGGCGUGCUUAACACAUGCAAGUCGAACGGAAAGGCCCUGCUUUUGUGGGGUGCUCGAGUGGCGAACGGGUUAGUAACACGUGAGUAACCUGCCCUUGACUUUGGUAUAACUUCAGGAAACUGGGGCUAAUACCGGAUAGGAGCUCCUGCUGCAUGGUUGGGGUUGGAAAGUUUCGGCGGUUGGGGAUGGACUCGCGGCUUAUCAGCUUGUUGGUGGGGUAGUGGCUUACCAAGGCUUUGACGGGUAGCCGGCCUGAGAGGGUGACCGGCCACAUUGGGACUGAGAUACGGCCCAGACUCCUACGGGAGGCAGCAGUGGGGAAUAUUGCACAAUGGGCGGAAGCCUGAUGCAGCAACGCCGCGUGCGGGAUGACGGCCUUCGGGUUGUAAACCGCUUUCGCCUGUGACGAAGCGUGAGUGACGGUAAUGGGUAAAGAAGCACCGGCUAACUACGUG
rnacentral:rRNA from 1 species